AUGUACAAACUCGUACACUGCGGUUCCUGCGCGCCGGCGGCCACCGUCAGACACCCGCUCGCUACGUUCUGCA
rnacentral:sRNA from 1 species